rnacentral:lncRNA from 1 species
AUCAUCAUUUUCUUUGCGUUUUUAACACCAAAACUUACAGAUCUUGGAUAAAUUAACCAGCUAUAACCAAAAGACGAGUAAAGAAACAAGCUUUUUCAAAAAAAAAUUGAGUUUAAACCGAUUACAACCAAAACAUAACUGUCCGUGUCUGCCUACUCGCCGAUUUUCCGGCCACCAUGGCGGCGUUUUCGUACACAGGCGACACCGAGGAGAGUGACGACCCAGAUCUUGUCUCCGACGAGAGCUUGUCGACUUCCUCAUACAUGUUAGAGUUUUCAUCGGAGAGAAAGAUUGAACAAAUCUGGAAAAAAAAGAAAAGAAAAGAAAUGAGUCCUACUAAUUUACACUUAGUUAUGUUUUAGUUAGAGAAAGUGUCCUACGAGCACAAAGUGCCUUAU